rnacentral:rRNA from 1 species
GUAGGGAAUAUUGCACAAUGGGCGAAAGCCUGAUGCAGCAACGCCGCGUGCGCGAUGAAGGCCUUCGGGUCGUAAAGCGCUUUUCGGGGAGAAGAGGAAGGACGGUAUCCCCGGAAGAAGGAUCGGCUAACUACGUGCCAGCAGCCGCGGUAACACGUAGGAUCCGAGCGUUAUCCGAAUUCACUGGGCGUAAAGCGCGUGCAGGCGGUACGGUAAGUUGGAUGUGAAAUCUCCUGGCUCAACUGGGAGGGGACGUUCAAUACUGUCGAACUAGAGGGCGGUAGAGGGAGGUGGAAUUCCCGGUGUAGUGGUGAAAUGCGUAGAUAUCGGGAGGAACACCAGAGGCGAAGGCGGCCUCCUGGACCGCACCUGACGCUCAGACGCGAAAGCUAGGGGAGCGAACGGGAUUAGAUACCCCAGUAGUCC